GUUAUUGUAGCUUACAACCAAAGCAUAGUGCUGAAGACACUAAGACGAGCCUUGCUCCAAAGACA
rnacentral:tRNA from 1 species